CAAGUACUCCCUCCGUCCAGAAUUACUUGUCAUCAAAAUGGAUGUGUCUAGAACUAAAAUACAUCUAGAUACAUCCAUUUCAAUGGCAAGUAUUUUUGGACGGAGGGAGUACAAG
rnacentral:pre_miRNA from 1 species